rnacentral:rRNA from 1 species
GGCUCAGGAUGAACGCUAGCGGCAGGCUUAAUACACGCAAGUCGUGGGGCAGCAUGGGUGUAGCAAUACAUCUGAUGGCGACCGGCAAACGGGUGCGGAACACGUACACAACCUUCCUUUAAGUGGGGAAUAGCCCAGAGAAAUUUGGAUUAAUACCCCGUAACAUAUAGAAGUGGCAUCACUUUUAUAUUAUAGCUCCGGCGCUUAAUGAUGGGUGUGCGCCUGAUUAGGUAGUUGGCGGGGUAACGGCCCACCAAGCCGUCGAUCAGUAACUGGUGUGAGAGCACGACCAGUCACACGGGCACUGAGACACGGGCCCGACUCCUACGGGAGGCAGCAGUAAGGAAUAUUGGUCAAUGGACGCAAGUCUGAACCAGCCAUGCCGCGUGGAGGAUGAAGGUCCUCUGGAUUGUAAACUUCUUUUAUCUGGGACGAAAAAGGGUCUUUCUAGAUCAACUGACGGUACCAGAUGAAUAAGCACCGGCUAACUCCGUGCCAGCAGCCGCGGUAAUACGGAGGGUGCAAGCGUUAUCCGGAUUCACUGGGUUUAAAGGGUGCGUAGGUGGAUUGCCAAGUCCGUGGUGAAAUCUCCGAGCUUAACUCGGAAACUGCCGUGGAUACUGGUAGUCUUGAAUACCGUGGAGGUCAGUGGAAUAUGUCAUGUAGCGGUGAAAUGCUUAGAUAUGACAUAGAACACCAAUUGCGAAGGCAGCUGGCUACGCGAAUAUUGACACUGAGGCACGAAAGCGUGGGGAUCAAACAGGAUUAGAUACCCUGGUAGUCCACGCCCUAAACUAUGGAUACUCGACAUACGCGAUACACAGUGUGUGUCUGAGCGAAAGCAUUAAGUAUCCCACCUGGGAAGUACGAUCGCAAGAUUGAAACUCAAAG